rnacentral:rRNA from 1 species
GACGAACGCUGGCGGCGUGCUUAACACAUGCAAGUCGAACGGAAAGGCCCUGCUUUUGUGGGGUGCUCGAGUGGCGAACGGGUGAGUAACACGUGAGUAACCUGCCCUUGACUUUGGGAUAACUUCAGGAAACUGGGGCUAAUACCGGAUAGGAGCUCCUGCUGCAUGGUGGGGGUUGGAAAGUUUCGGCGGUUGGGGAUGGACUCGCGGCUUAUCAGCUUGUUGGUGGGGUAGUGGCUGACCAAGGCUUUGACGGGUAGCCGGCCUGAGAGGGUGACCGGCCACAGUGGGACUGAGAUACGGCCCAGACUCCUACGGGAGGCAGCAGUGGGGAAUAUUGCACAAUGGGCGGAAGCCUGAUGCAGCAACGCCGCGUGAGGGAUGACGGCCUUCGGGUUGUAAACCGCUUUCGCCUGUGACGAAGCGUGAGUGACGGUAAUGGGUAAAGAAGCACCGGCUAACUACGUG